rnacentral:rRNA from 1 species
GAACGGGUGGUAAUGCCGGAUGCUCCGACUCCUCGCAUGGGGUGUCGGGAAAGAUUUCAUCGGUAUGGGAUGGGGUCGCGUCCUAUCAGGUAGUCGGCGGGGUAACGGCCCACCGAGCCUACGACGGGUAGCCGGCCUGAGAGGGCGACCGGCCACAUUGGGACUGAGAUACGGCCCAGACUCCUACGGGAGGCAGCAGUGGGGAAUAUUGCACAAUGGGCGCAAGCCUGAUGCAGCGACGCCGCGUGCGGGAUGACGGCCUUCGGGUUGUAAACCGCUUUUGAUCGGGAGCAAGCCUUCGGGUGAGUGUACCUUUCGAAUAAGCACCGGCUAACUACGUGCCAGCAGCCGCGGUAAUACGUAGGGUGCAAGCGUUAUCCGGAAUUAUUGGGCGUAAAGGGCUCGUAGGCGGUUCGUCGCGUCCGGUGUGAAAGUCCAUCGCUUAACGGUGGAUCUGCGCCGGGUACGGGCGGGCUGGAGUGCGGUAGGGGAGACUGGAAUUCCCGGUGUAACGGUGGAAUGUGUAGAUAU